rnacentral:rRNA from 1 species
AUUGAACGCUGGCGGCAGGCCUAACACAUGCAAGUCGAGCGGAUGAAGGGAGCUUGCUCCUGGAUUCAGCGGCGGACGGGUGAGUAAUGCCUAGGAAUCUGCCUUGUAGUGGGGGAUAACGUCAGGAAACGGGCGCUAAUACCGCAUACGUCCUGAUGGAGAACGUGGGGGAUCUUCAGACCUCACGCUAUCAGAUGAGCCUAGGUCGGAUUAGCUAGUUGGUGGGGUAAAGGCCUACCAAGGCGACGAUCCGUAACUGGUCUGAGAGGAUGAUCAGUCACACUGGAACUGAGACACGGUCCAGACUCCUACGGGAGGCAGCAGUGGGGAAUAUUGGACAAUGGGCGAAAGCCUGAUCCAGCCAUGCCGCGUGUGUGAAGAAGGUCUUCGGAUUGUAAAGCACUUUAAGUUGGGAGGAAGGGCAGUAAGUUAAUACCUUGCUGUUUUGACGUUACCAACAGAAUAAGCACCGGCUAACUUCGUG